rnacentral:lncRNA from 1 species
AGUUAAAUUCAUUCUCUGUUUUUUUGAGAUGUUUUUCACUCAGUGUUUUUUUUUUUUGGCCCCAUUCUUUCCUAAUUUUCCUCCUGCCUUGGUUGUGUUUAUUUAUUUAAUUAUAUAUUUUAUUGCAUUUUAGGUUCUGGGGUACGUGUGAAGAACAUGCAGGAUUAUUGCAUAGGUACAUACAUGGCAAUGCGGUUUGCCUCCAUCCCCAUCACCUAUAUCUGUCAUUUCUCACCAUAUUAUCCCUCUCCAACUCCCUACCCCCUAUUAUUCCUCCCAUAGACCCCACACACAGACCUCAGUGUGUGAUACUCCCCUCCCUGUGUCCAUGUGUUCUCAUUGUUCAACACCUCCUAUGAGUGAGAACAUGUGGUGUUUGAUUUUCUGUUCUUGUGUCAGUUUGUUGAGAAUGAUGGUUUCCAGGUUCAUCUAUGCCCCUACAAAGGACAUGAACUCAUCAUUUUUUAUGGCUGCAUAGUAUUCCAUGGUGUAUAUGUGCCACAUUUUUCUUGUCUAGUCUAUCAUUGAUGGGCAUUUAGGUUGGUUCCAAGUCUUCGCUAUUGUAAACAGUGCCGCAAUGAACAUACAUGUACGUGUGCCCUUAUAAUAGAAUGAUUUAUAAUCCUUUGGAUAUAUACCCAGCAAUGGGAUUGCUGGGUCAAAUGGAAUUUCUAUUUUAGGUCCUUGAGGAAUUUCCACACUGUCUUCCACAAUGGUUGAACUAAUUUACACUCCCACCAGCAGUGUAAAAGUGUUCCUAUUUCUCCACAUCCUCUCCAGCAUCUGUUGUCUCCAGAUUUUUUAAUGAUCGCCAUUCUAACUGGUGUGAGAUGGUAUGUCAAUGUAGUUUUGAUUUGCAUUUCUCUAGUGACCAGUGAUGAUGAGCAUUUUUUCAUGUGUUUGUUGGCCUCAUGUAUGUCUUCUUUUGAAAAGUGUCUGUUCAUAUCCUUUGCCCACUUUUGAAUGGGUUUCUUCCCAUCUUUGUGGAUUUAUCUACCUGUGGUCUUUGUGGUUGGUGACUUUCGGAUGGGGUCUCUGAGUGGACAUCCUUUUUGCUGCUGAUAAAGUUAUUUCUUUCUGUUUCUUAGUUUUCCUUCUAACAGUCAGACACCCCUGUUGUGGGACUGCUGGAAGUCCACUCCAGACACUGCUUGCUUGAGGAUCACCUGCAGCAGCUGCAGAACAGUAAGGGUUGUGGUCAGUUUCUUCUUCUGUUAUCUUUGUCCUAGGAGGAUAUCCAUGAGAU